rnacentral:lncRNA from 1 species
UGAAUCUUGGCGAUCCCCAUUUUGCCCAACAGUUGGCCCGCCUAUUCGAACUGCCCUCCAUCUUUAGAUCACAUUUUACUCACAUUAUCAACCUCAGUCAGAAAUAAUUUCAUUCCUUUUCUACAAUUUUGCGAAGAAAAGCAUGAAAGGCACAAAUAUCAGGCACCUAAAGAAUUAAAAAGAAAACGCGGGUGUCUAAUUAAACUUUCAAAUUCCCAGGAUCAUGAUCAAUUCUUCGGAAAAUAAUAGUCAACGGAGGCUGAUGACAUAUUACAUUUUCCAAUAAGAAAAUGAAAGCUAAAUCGAACAGCAGAUACCUGAAUAAGAUUAGUGGUAGGAUUACGGUGAGCUGAUAAUCUAGCAAUGCACUGAUUAAUAUCUGCACCUGGCUGCAUUUUUUCGCUUGAAUGAAUUAUUGUUGAAAGGUUGAAAGAAGUAAACUUUGGUUAUCAAACGCAAACAAGAAAGCUAGAUAUGAGAAGGGAAACCCUACACAACGUGUAUAUAAUAAUAGGGUGUUUAUACUGACCCCAUAAUUUUAGUUUUAGUUGCUUUUGCAUGGAAGGUGUCAAAGUUGGAAUAUAGGUUGCGACGUUUAUCACCUAUUGAAGCCAAUUGGGAUUUCACAUUAUUAUUUUUUAAGUCAUACGGGUAAACUAUAAAGCUUCUGUCAUGAACAUUACAAUCUUGUGAAGGUCUUUUUUAUGGAAAAGAUUUUCUGUGAAGAUUGAAAAUUUUCACUUUUCUUGCUGUAGAAAGAUUUUGUGCACAGUUAAUACUGCAACUGAUAAUCUGGGAGUGGAAGUAAUGCUGAAGUAGAACUCUAAGAAAUCUCAUGCGCCACUAAGACCUUAUGUAGUUCUGAAUUAAAUGUGGACCUCUUGCCUUUAUGUGUAGCCUGAGUGGGCAUAGUCUGAAAUUUUCUCUGAUUUCAAUA